GACGAACGCUGGCGGCGUGCUUAACACAUGCAAGUCGAACGGAAAGGCCCUGCUUUUGUGGGGUGCUCGAGUGGCGAACGGGUGAGUAACACGUGAGUAACCUGCCCUUGACUUUGGUAUAACUUCAGGAAACUGGGGCUAAUACCUGAUAGGAUCUCCUGCUGCAUGGUGGGGGUUGGAAAGUUUCGGCGGUUGGGGAUGGACUCGCGGCUUAUCAGCUUGUUGGUGGGGUAGUGGCUUACCAAGGCUUUGACGGGUAGCCGGCCUGAGAGGGUGACCGGCCACAUUGGGACUGAGAUACGGCCCAGAAUCCUACGGGAGGCAGCAGUGGGGAAUAUUGCACAAUGGGCGGAAGCCUGAUGCAGCAACGCAGCGUGCGGGAUGACGGCCUUCGGGUUGUAAACCGCUUUCGCAUGUGACGAAGCGUGAGUGACGGUAAUGGGUAAAGAAGCACCGGCUAACUACGUG
rnacentral:rRNA from 1 species